GACGAACGCUGGCGGCGUGCUUAACACAUGCAAGUCGAACGAUGACGCCCGAGCUUGCUCGGUCUGAUUAGUGGCGAACGGGUGAGUAACACGUGAGCAACCUGCCCUUCACUCUGGGAUAACCUCGGGAAAUCGGGGCUAAUACCGGAUAUGAGCUCCUGUCGCAUGGCGGGUGUUGGAAAGUUUUUCGGUGAAGGAUGGGCUCGCGGCCUAUCAGUUUGUUGGUGAGGUAGUGGCUCACCAAGGCGAUACGGGUAGCCGGCCUGAGAGGGCGACCGGCCACACUGGGACUGAGACACGGCCCAGACUCCUACGGGAGGCAGCAGUGGGGAAUAUUGCACAAUGGGCGAAAGCCUGAUGCAGCGACGCCGCGUGAGGGAUGACGGCCUUCGGGUUGUAAACCUCUUUCAGCAGGGAAGAAGCGAAAGUGACGGUACCUGCAGAAGAAGCGCCGGCUAACUACGUG
rnacentral:rRNA from 1 species